GAUCCCUGCAGCACUUGGAGGUCCCUCCUGGAAACCUGUGCACAGGUCCAGCUGUGCCAGCGAGGAGAAGGAUGAGAGCUCAGCAAUCCUGCCCAGCACAGGCUCUCCUGGAGAGACCCCUGAGAGCUGCUGUGAGUGGGGACAUCAUCAGUGCCUCACAGGAUGUCUCCCUGUCCCGUGUCAGCCUCCCUCGGGGACGGCACCUCGCUGCCUCCCAGCACCGCAGCUGCGACAGGUUGGCAGCAGCUCCUCAGAACGGGGCCUGCAUGGGAAUCUCAAUGAGAUGGAGAAGGGUGAGCUGUUGAGGUCCAGUACUUUUCACAAGGUUUCUGCUGGAAAACCCACCUGCUCAGCUGAAUCCUGGCUACAUCCGGAGGCUCUGCUGUGUUUUCUCUGCCCUGUGUGUGUUGCUGCAUGUGGGGCUGACAAAGGAGAGGCAUCGUUCCAAGAAGGAAAAGUGAGAGACGGAAACUUUGAUGCAGAAACUUCAGUGCCUGCACGGGGCUGGGCUGGGGAAUCUGCCUGAGUGAGAGGAGCUGUGGGCUGGGAGCUCCAGGCCACAGAGAGAGGCACAACCUUCACAGGCCCUGUCCUGGGGCAGGCUGUGAGAAGAUCAGAGAAAAGAAUAAGAAAUAUUUCUCAUCUUCACUUGCUGCACCUGCUGUUGUGUUAGGUGGAACGUGUUUGGGAGAUUUGUGUACCAAAGGGGGGUUCUUAAUUGGCCACGGGUGAUGGUGUUUGGAUUGAAGGACCAGUUGGGUCCAUCUGUAUGGUAAGGGCUCCAGUUGGGUCCAUCUGUCUGUCUGUAAGGGCUCCAGUUGGGUCCGUCUGUCUGUCUGUAAGGGCUCCAGUUGGGUCUGUCUGUCUGUCUGUAAGGGCUCCAGUUGGGUCCAUCUGUCUGUCUGUAAGGGCUCCAGUUGGGUCUGUCUGACUGUCUGUAAGGGCUCCAGUUGGGUCCAUCUGUCUGUCUGUAAGGGCUCCAGUUGGGUCCAUCUGUGUGGUGACUGUCUGUAAGGGCUAUGGGUUUAUCAAUAAGUACAGUAUACUGAAGUGAUUGAUCAGCAUUCUGUGCUAAUUAUUACCCCUUGAGGGACACCAUGCUAUGACAGCAAGGGGCAGUGGCUGGCAGGGCACAGAGGGGUGGCCAAGAGAGGACAGACCCCAGGCAGGAGCCCCUGAUCCCUGCAGCUAGAUUACACCAGGCUGUAAGGAAAAAGAGGGGAGCAAGGAUUAUUUUGGGGUACAGAGUGACAGCAGAGCCUACAUCACUCUAUCACAUUAGACCAGCUCCAGUCUAAUGAUUUCACUGGGAACCUGGGAAUUCCAUAUUCCCACGGGAACAUGUGGGCCUUCCCUCUGCUUUGCCCCUGAAGAUGCCACAGAGAACAAAUUCAUGGCCCUGCUGGGAGACACUCAUUAGCCACAUCAUUAAACCAAACCAUAAUGGCUUCAGGGAGCAGCACUGUCCUGUGGCUGGCAGUGGCAAAAGGACUCUCAAGUCACUAAUGCAGUGAAACUCUCCUUGUCCAGGAGUAAACAGGAGGAAUCAGCUCCUUUACCCCCAGGAAUGUUAAAUACAAGUGUAUGGAGAUGUGUGCCUGUAGAUAAAUAAACAGAGAACCUCCCAAAGUGGGUGGAAUGAG
ensembl:lncRNA